rnacentral:lncRNA from 1 species
UAAAAACCAUUUUAAUAUGAUUCUAUUAAUUAUUUUUAUUUAUUUAUUUAUUAUUUGAUUCUAUUAAUGUUAGAUAGCAGUGAUUUCAUUUUCUUAAAAAUUAGAUAUGGGCAGGCGUGGUGUCUCACCAAGGCGGGCAAAUCACUUGAGGCCAGGAGUUCGAGACCAGCCUGACCAACAUGGUGAAACUCCAUCUCUACUGCAAAAUAUUCAGUAUAUGAGAACAGUUGACAUGGUUAUAGUUGUAUGUAUUCUUGCAUUGUCUUCCUGAUGUUCUCAGUCAUAUUUAUCACCCUCACCAGCCUCUGCUUCCCUUAUCACUUUGCGGUACCCAUAACUCCCCUUUACUGGAAUGAAUUUGAUUCUACUUCUGUAUGUUUUAUCGUUUUAUUGCUGAAUACACUUGGAAUGCAUGAAUUGACCCUAACCUUGUAUCAAUUUUUUUUCCCAGUUUGGAUCUUCUCUUUUAGUCAACAUUGUGUCAGAUCUACCAGCAAAGUGUGAAGUUGAGCGAUAGGAACAACUUUCUAAUUAUCUUCCCUGCUACUUGCAGGUGAAGACUCACAGGCAGGCAGCCCUGCCCACCUCACUGCUUCAUCUCAUGGUCUUCUGGUGUCUGUUCACAGGCACAUUAGUUCUGUGUGCCCCUGGGGCUCACUUGGUUCCUCCUGCCCUAGGCCUUUGCACUUGCCACUUUUAUGCCUAGUAUGCUCAUUUCCCUUUUCACCUAGGAAGCUCCCACUUGAGUUCCAUAUGUC